rnacentral:rRNA from 1 species
GGGUUGUGAGGUUAAGCGACUAAGCGUACACGGUGGAUGCCCUGGCAGUCAGAGGCGAUGAAGGGCGUACUAAUCUGCGAUAAGCGCCGGUAAGGUGAUAUGAACCGUUAUAACCGGCGAUACCCGAAUGGGGAAACCCAGUGUGAUUCGUCACACUAUCAUUAACUGAAUCCAUAGGUUAAUGAGGCGAACCGGGGGAACUGAAACAUCUAAGUACCCCGAGGAAAAGAAAUCAACCGAGAUUCCCCCAGUAGCGGCGAGCGAACGGGGAGGAGCCCAGAGCCUGAAUCAGCAUGUGUGUUAGUGGAAGCGUCUGGAAAGGCGCGCGAUACAGGGUGACAGCCCCGUACACAAAAGCGCAUGUGCUGUGAGCUCGAUGAGUAGGGCGGGACACGUGGUAUCCUGUCUGAAUAUGGGGGGACCAUCCUCCAAGGCUAAAUACUCCUGACUGACCGAUAGUGAACCAGUACCGUGAGGGAAAGGCGAAAAGAACCCCGGCGAGGGGAGUGAAAAAGAACCUGAAACCGUGUACGUACAAGCAGUGGGAGCACCCUUUGGGUGUGACUGCGUACCUUUUGUAUAAUGGGUCAGCGACUUAUAUUCUGUAGCAAGGUUAACCGAAUAGGGGAGCCGGAGGGAAACCGAGUCUUAACCGGGCGUUAAGUUGCAGGGUAUAGACCCGAAACCCGGUGAUCUAGCCAUGGGCAGGUUGAAGGUUGGGUAACACUAACUGGAGGACCGAACCGACUAAUGUUGAAAAAUUAGCGGAUGACCUGUGGCUGGGGGUGAAAGGCCAAUCAAACCGGGAGAUAGCUGGUUCUCCCCGAAAGCUAUUUAGGUAGCGCCUCGUGAAUUCAUCUCCGGGGGUAGAGCACUGUUUCGGCUAGGGGGCCAUCCCGGCUUACCAACCCGAUGCAAACUGCGAAUACCGGAGAAUGUUAUCACGGGAGACACACGGCGGGUGCUAACGUCCGUCGUGAAGAGGGAAACAACCCAGACCGCCAGCUAAGGUCCCAAAGUCAUGGUUAAGUGGGAAACGAUGUGGGAAGGCCCAGACAGCCAGGAUGUUGGCUUAGAAGCAGCCAUCAUUUAAAGAAAGCGUAAUAGCUCACUGGUCGAGUCGGCCUGCGCGGAAGAUGUAACGGGGCUAAACCAUGCACCGAAGCUGCGGCAGCGA